CUUUGUUGCACACCCUUGCCCUUGGUUAAAGCCCUGUAUCUCCACAGUCCAGGCAAUGUGGGGGAUCCGAAUCUUACUUCUGUGCAUCUUGGAAAUGUUUUAAACUUAUCUCCAAUGGGCUUCCAGUUGGCUGGAAGAUGCAUCUAAGCAUCGGUUGCUGACGACAACCUUCUCUGAAUGGUGAGCCUUGAGAAGAAGGGGAAAAUUUCAAGCAAAUUUAAACAAAAUGUAAAUGAGAUUGCAACAUGAGAACUGUUGUGCAUAAGAUGAGACCCUGUGAAAUCCUAAUAGACUAAUGUGGUUUGAUGAACCAACACCCCCUGAAAAGUCCCUGUAAUCAUCGUCAAAAAUUACUUCGCCCACCAAAAAGCAGGAAGGAGUUUGGAGAGAAUUAUACCCAAGUUCUCUAAAUGAUUCUUUAUAAAUGUUUGUUUACAUUUAAAGGUCUGUAAGAUGUAAUUAUCUUUAAAGAAAAGAAGAGAAAAAUAAAAUUAGUAAAAAAAACCCAGCCUUGGCAUCAUUUCUAGGUAGAGCUAUGAUCAAUUCCCUCCUGAUGUUUCCCAUCCUGACUUAUAAUGAUUUUACUAGGUUAAUUCUUGUGUCACCUCUUUAGCCUAACCUAUCUCAGGAAUGCCCCACUCACCAGUUCCAAGAUUCUAAUGCUAAGCAGGUGGAGAAAUCUUGGGUAUUGCUGGUCAAUACCCUAUGGUCCCAUGUGUGUCUCAUGUUCCUGAUUGAGAAUCACAGAAAGUGUGCAGUGUUUUCUUGUUAACUCAGGGCUAGAGGACUGCUGACUCAUAGAAAACUGCUAAGAGUCAUUCUCUGGUCUGGAAAAACCACCUACCCCAAGUCUGAAAUGUUUAUAAAAUGGAAAUCAUCAUCUCCAAACACCAACCACAGACUUCCA